GGAUUCGGGUAGAAACGGAGGACAGUGAGAGAUUUUGGGAAGAAAGGGAAGUUAAGUCCCCAUUUCAUUAGGCCGUUUGAGAAGUUGGAGAAGGUGGGGGUGGUUGUGUACAGGGUAGUGCUUCCUCCUCGGGAUCAUAGGGUUCACAAUGUAGUCCAUGUAGCCCUACUAUAAAAAUAACACCUGGGUCUGAAUCAUAUUAUAAGGUGUGAAUCGUUACCAUUGGGGAAGGACUUAUCCUAUAAACAGGAACUAAUAUGGGUUCUCAAGCGACA
rnacentral:lncRNA from 1 species